rnacentral:lncRNA from 1 species
CGCUGGUCGUGCGUGCAAAUCGAACUGCGUCGCUACGUUCCGUUCUCCGAGUGUCAGUUAGCUCCAGCUCUGGAGCGCCGUAGGUGCAGUGUUGUGAUAGUGUGUUUUUAGUCAUACAGACGGAUAGUGUAUCACUACAAAGUACCACUGUCGACGGUGCGCGGCCGUUCCACGGAGUUACCUAACGGCUGUUCGCCUUGCGAGGGAAGGCGGAUCGCUUGCACCGGGAGGAAUGAGCCCCGUACAUUACUGCUCCCGCACUCACCGAUGAUCUCAAGAGACCAUGUAUAUAGAAACCUUACCGCUCGUGGUUUGGACGCUCAUAGUAACAUCAACGCAUGUAGCGACGCAAAACCAAUAUGGAAUAGGUUUAGGAAUAAAACGAGAAAUAUUCUUCUUAAAUUUAGAAAACGGUUACUUCGGUUGCCAAGCAAACGAAUCAACACAUAUAUUACAAUUAUAUGAAUUAUCUAAAUUAUGCGACGGUGUGCCGGACUGUUAUAAGGCAUCCGACGAACUUCGAACAGAAUUAAAAUGUUCAGGUAAGAUAUUCCAUAUUAUAUUAUUACAAUUAACCACAACGUCCGAGUAAGUACAUACCAGUAACAAAUACUUCUACAAUAAAAUGCUUUACAUGUACGCGCGUAAACAGAAAGAUACGAUCUAACCAUAUUACGUAUUGAUUCUGUUUCUAGAAUUGCUAACGAUCCGAAAUGUGAAAAAAAAAAACAUAUAGCCUUUCAUUGUCCAUAAGUCACAUGAUCAACAUUAUCAAUCGAAUAUGUCUUUAGCGAUUGUGAAAAAGAUUCGACAAGUCAAAUUUCAUUCAGAUUUCUGUUUUGUGCGUUCCUUUGUAGCACCACGCAGACAGCAGGCAGCGUGAUCUGAUCGCCUGCUAGGUGCAUCGUAUCCAUCGGUGAUACCAAUCAAUGUUGUGGACAGAAUUCAUCGACUCUUUCUGUCUAUGCAGGCUCGUUUUAAAUAUUUGUAAACAAUUUUGAGAUUCACGUUUAAAACUAUUGUAUGAGAAGUUUUAUACAAUUUUAAAAUGUAUCUAUUAUUUCAUAA